rnacentral:rRNA from 1 species
UACAGAGGGUGCGAGCGUUAAUCGGAAUUACUGGGCGUAAAGCGUGCGUAGACGGUUAUUUAAGUCGGAUGUGACAGCCCCGGGCUCAACCUGGGAAUUGCAUUCGAGACUGAAUAGCUAGGGUACGGUAGAGGGAAGCGGAAUUUCCGGUGUAGCGGUGAAAUGCGUAGAUAUCGGAAGGAACAUCAGUGGCGAAAGCGGCUUCCUGGACCAGUACCGACGUUCAGGCACGAAAGCGUGGGGAGCAAACAGG